rnacentral:rRNA from 1 species
AGUGGCGGACGGGUGAGUAACGCGUAGGAAUCUACCUUAUGAUGGGGGACAACCCGGGGAAACUCGGGCUAAUACCGCAUAUACCUUGAGAGGGAAAGCCAGGGACCGCAAGGCCUGGUGUCAUAAGAUGAGCCUGCGUCAGAUUAGCUAGUUGGUGGGGUAAAGGCCUACCAAGGCGACGAUCUGUAGCUGUUCUGAGAGGAAGAUCAGCCACACUGGGACUGAGACACGGCCCAGACUCCUACGGGAGGCAGCAGUGGGGAAUAUUGGACAAUGGGGGCAACCCUGAUCCAGCAAUGCCGCGUGUGUGAAGAAGGCCUGCGGGUUGUAAAGCACUUUCAGUGGGGAGGAAGAUAUCACGGUUAAGAGCUAUGGUAUUUGACGUUACCCACAGAAGAAGCACCGGCUAACUCUGUGCCAGCAGCCGCGGUAAUACAGAGGGUGCGAGCGUUAAUCGGAAUUACUGGGCGUAAAGAGCGUGUAGGUGGAUAAUCAAGUCGGAUGUGAAAGCCCUGGGCUUAACCUGGGAACUGCAUACGAAACUGGUUAUCUAGAGUGUGGCAGAGGAAAGUGGAAUUCCCGGUGUAGCGGUGGAAUGCGUAGAUAUCGGGAGGAACACCAGUGGCGAAGGCGCCUUUCUGGGCCAACACUGACACUGAGACGCGAAAGCGUGGGUAGCGAACAGGAUUAGAUACCCUGGUAGUCCACGCCGUAAACGAUGAGAACUAGCUG